rnacentral:rRNA from 1 species
UACAGAGGUCUCAAGCGUUGUUCGGAUUCAUUGGGCGUAAAGGGUGCGUAGGUGGCGCUGUAAGUCGGGUGUGAAAUUUCGGAGCUUAACUCCGAAACUGCAUUCGAUACUGCGGUGCUUGAGGACUGGAGAGGAGACUGGAAUUCCCGGUGUAGUGGUGAAAUGCGUAGAGAUCGGGAGGAACACCGAUGGCGAAGGCAGGUCUCUGGGCCACUACUGACGCUGAGAAGCGAAAGCAUGGGGAGCGAACAGG